rnacentral:rRNA from 1 species
GAUGAACGCUGGCGGCGUGCCUAAUACAUGCAAGUCGAGCGAACGGACGAGAAGCUUGCUUCUCUGAUGUUAGCGGCGGACGGGUGAGUAACACGUGGAUACCCUACCUAUAAGACUGGGAUCACUUCGGGAAACCGGAUCUAAUACCGGAUAAUAUAUUGAACCGCAUGGUUCAAUAGUGAAAGACGGUUUUGCUGUCACUUAUAGAUGGAUCCGCGCCGCAUUAGCUAGUUGGUAAGGUAACGGCUUACCAAGGCAACGAUGCGUAGCCGACCUGAGAGGGUGAUCGGCCACACUGGAACUGAGACACGGUCCAGACUCCUACGGGAGGCAGCAGUAGGGAAUCUUCCGCAAUGGGCGAAAGCCUGACGGAGCAACGCCGCGUGAGUGAUGAAGGUCUUCGGAUCGUAAAACUCUGUUAUUAGGGAAGAACAAAUGUGUAAGUAACUAUGCACGUCUUGACGGUACCUAAUCAGAAAGCCACGGCUAACUACGUG